CGAAAGUCUAUAAGAAAAAAGUUACCUAAUAUGUCUAUAAUACAGUAUAUCAAAACAAACUUAAAACCUACCGAAAGCCAAUCUAGUAUGCGACACAACGAAUCGGCAAUACCAGAUCGUGCUGUGCUUCUCAUCUGUGACUGUGUUGUCUAAUUGUUCAGGAUGGGAUUUCGAAUCUCUUCUUGAGGGCGACGUAAAACCAUUUCU